GCCGAUAUAGCUUAGUUGGUAGAGCAGCGCAUUCGUAAAGCGAAGAUCAUAGGUUCGAAUCCUAUUAUCGGCA
rnacentral:tRNA from 1 species